rnacentral:rRNA from 1 species
CAGCCGCCACGGUAAUACGAAGGGUGCAAGCGUUACUCGGAAUUACUGGGCGUAAAGCGUGCGUAGGUGGUGGUUUAAGUCCGUUGUGAAAGCCCUGGGCUCAACCUGGGAAUUGCAGUGGAUACUGGGUCACUAGAGUGUGGUAGAGGAUAGUGGAAUUUCCGGUGUAGCAGUGAAAUGCGUAGAGAUCGGAAGGAACAUCUGCGGCGAAGGCGACUAUCUGGGCCAACACUGACACUGAGGCACGAAAGCGUGGGGAGCAAACAGGAUUAGAGACCCCCGUAGUCCCUGUCUCUUAUAC